rnacentral:lncRNA from 1 species
AUUAUACAAACUCGAAGUCAGCCCACAUAAUUAAUGGUUAAUGUUAGUCACGAGUGGUAAUUAUACCAAACUAUAGCUAUGAUGACUAAUUAAGUAGUAUAAAUUUGCUUAACCGCGUAAUUUUCCCAAUAAGAUAUUAUAGUUUGGGUGGGUUAGGGUUGUGACAAAACACCCCUUAUAAUUUAUAUAAUGUUGUAUAUUGGGCAUAUGAUAUUGUAUAUCAUAAUUUUAAAUAUUGUUGUAAAAAAAGUUUUGUAUAUUAUUGUAUAUCGAGGUACAAUGUUGUUUUUCUUAUAUAUAAUUAAACACUAUUAUUAGAAUAGAGAAAAUGGUCUAAAACCCCUCAAUCUAUACCCGAAAUCCCAACUACACACUCCAACUUUACGGGUGUCCUAUUACCCACCUGAACUUUUUAUUUCUCUAUUUUAUACACACCUAAGUGUUGACCUGUCAUGGGAGGUGUUCUCACCUCCUCUAGGCGCGUUAGAAGGUUAAUUUUGACGAAAAAUCCUCCUUCUCCAACGGUCAUCUUCCCCACCUUUAAAUAAACCAUUAUUUCUUCUUCCCCAUCAUUAACCCUUGUUCCUUUUAUAAAUAAAUCACAAUUUCCUCUCAAAAUUAAGUAGGGUUUAGUUGUUAAUGUUCAUUUCUACUUCAAAUCUUGAAUUUAAGGUUUGUAAUCUGUUCUAAUUUCUUAUUUAGGUCUCUAAUUUGAAUUUUGAAUUUUCUCGAAAUUCAUCAAAAAUGGCAAAUGAAAACUUGAAUAAGCUUUGUAUGGAUGAAUCAGACCCAAUGCUCAACGUUGUAGUGAGAUGCAAACACGGAAUUUUGCUGAAUUUGCAAACUUCUUGGUCGAAAUUAAAUUCGGGACCCAAAAUUUUGAGCAGACUUCCAAAAUUUUGUUUGCCUGAGCUCCGGCUAGUUCGCCUGAAUUACAACCUCUGUUCAUAUCGAUUUUACUUACAUAAUUGGGUGCGCUGGGCUGAGGGGAUUCCAUCAUAGUGAUUUGUUUCCCCUGAAUCUCAGUUAUCGCCGGCGAAACUCUGUUUGAGUUGAGAGGCAAUUUUGGCGAUUCUCCCUCCAAAAUCACCUAAGCAGAUCUCUCAAACGGUAAGAUAGAAUGUUGUGAUUUUGUAGUAUUAGGUAGAUUUUGAGGUGUAGAUUCCAUUCCAUCAACUGGAACGAUCUGAAUCACUCCAGAUUUGGCUAGGGAAAUAAUUUCUUGCUCCCACUUUAACUCCUUCUCCGAAAGAUGAACAGUGAUCGCUGGAUUGUAAUUCAAAUUCGAGGAGCUGUGGUUGGAAUUUGAAGGUGAUUCUUGUUGGAGAAUAUCCAUCUCCUCCAUGGGUAUAUUUUCGCAUUGGUCUGAAGGUCGU